UACGUAGGGUGCGAGCGUUAAUCGGAAUUACUGGGCGUAAAGUGUGCGCAGGUGGCCGCGCAAGUCGAGUGUGAAAUCCCCGAGCUUAACUUGGGAAUUGCGCUCGAAACUACGUGGCUCGAGUGUGGCAGAGGAAGGUGGAAUUCCCGGUGUAGCAGUGAAAUGCGUAGAGAUCGGGAGGAACAUCAGUUGCGAAGGCGGCUCUCUGGACCAGCACUGACACUGAGGCACGAAAGCGUGGGGAGCAAACAGG
rnacentral:rRNA from 1 species